UGUGUGUGUGUGUGUGUGUGUGUUUAUGUAAGAUCCCAUACUCUACCACUUUUGUUUAUUUCAUACAAUGUUAUUCACACAUUUUUCAUUUUUUAAUUUAUACAUAAUAUACAAAGAAGUGAAGAUAACAUUUCAUUUGAACCAAUAAGAGGUAGGACUUAGA